rnacentral:rRNA from 1 species
GCCUAAUACAUGCAAGUCGAGCGGAUCUUCAUUAGCUUGCUUUUGAAGAUCAGCGGCGGACGGGUGNAGUAACACGUGGGCAACCUGCCUGUAAGACUGGGAUAACUUCGGGAAACCGGAGCUAAUACCGGAUAAUCCUUUCCCUCACAUGAGGGAAAGCUGAAAGACGGUUUCGGCUGUCACUUACAGAUGGGCCCGCGGCGCAUUAGCUAGUUGGUGAGGUAACGGCUCACCAAGGCAACGAUGCGUAGCCGACCUGAGAGGGUGAUCGGCCACACUGGGACUGAGACACGGCCCAGACUCCUACGGGAGGCAGCAGUAGGGAAUCUUCCGCAAUGGACGAAAGUCUGACGGAGCAACGCCGCGUGAGCGAUGAAGGCCUUCGGGUCGUAAAGCUCUGUUGUCAGGGAAGAACAAGUACCGGAGUAACUGCCGGUACCUUGACGGUACCUGACCAGAAAGCCACGGCUAACUACGUGCCAGCAGCCGCGGUAAUAC